GGCUGUAACUAUAACGGUCCUAAGGUAGCAAAUUUCCUUGUCGUCUUAAUAACGACCUGCAUGAAACAUAGAACGAUUCGAUAGCUGUCUUGCACACACAUCAUGGUAAAAUACUCAUCAGUACAAAUAAUAUGCUGCCUCAGUAAGCAUCUAACUAAAGGACAAAAAGACCCUUUGAAGCUUUAUAGGGAUAAAACUUUAAUUGGGGCGAUAACCUUAUAUAAUCCACCUAAGGUGAACAAAGUGAUACAAGGACCCGACAAGUAAUUUGCCCAACUAAUAAGUGCAAAGAUACAUGUUUUGCUUAAUGGUCCAAUAAGUCUUUCCCAGUACUUAAAUGCUAUCUUAAUGAGCUUUAAAUUAAUCUACCAACACCAAGCUACUCUACGGAUAACAGGCUUAAUUUCCGCAAUACUCAAGGUCACAUUAUCAAGAAAAAUGCACCUCGAUGUCGGCUUAUCAUCACCAAAAUAAGUAGUUAGGUUAUUGGUGGGAGUGCUCAUCCCGUAAAUCGGUACGUGAGCUGGGUUCAAUACGAUGG
rnacentral:rRNA from 1 species